rnacentral:misc_RNA from 1 species
AUGAAGAACGCAGUAAAAUGCGAUAAGUAAUGUGAAUUGCAGAAUUCAGUGAAUCAUCGAAUCUUUGAACGCACAUUGCGCCCGCCAGUAUUCUGGCGGGCAUGCCUGUUCGAGCGUCAUUUCAACCCUCAAGCUCAGCUUGGUGUUGGGACUCGCGGUAACCCGCGUUCCCCAAAUCGAUUGGCGGUCACGUCGAGCUUCCAUAGCGUAGUAAUCAUACACCUCGUUACUGGUAAUCGUCGCGGCCACGCCGUAAAACCCCAACUUCUGAAUGUUGACCUCGGAUCAGGUAGGAAUACCCGCUGAACUUAAGCAUAUCAAUAAGCGGAGGA